UACGGAGGGAGCUAGCGUUAUUCGGAAUUACUGGGCGUAAAGCGCACGUAGGCGGCUUUGUAAGUAAGAGGUGAAAGCCUGGAGCUCAACUCCAGAAUAGCCUUUUAGACUGCAUCGCUUGAAUCAUGGAGAGGUGAGUGGAAUUCCGAGUGUAGAGGUGAAAUUCGUAGAUAUUCGGAAGAACACCAGUGGCGAAGGCGGCUCACUGGACUGGUAUUGACGCUGAGGUGCGAAAGCGUGGGGAGCAAACAGG
rnacentral:rRNA from 1 species